rnacentral:tRNA from 1 species
GCCCCGCUAGCUCAGUGGAUAGAGCAUCUGUCUUCUAAACAGAGGGU